AUGAAGAUCGGCCCGUAUGGCGGCCCAGGAGGUAAUCACUGGGACAUUAAUGCUCUCAAUCCGCCCAAAAGGCUUGUGAGCAUCCAGAUUUGGAGCACUGCUUCCUCCUGCGAAGGGGCCGGCGGGGUCAUCAACGGCAUCUCGUUCAGCUAUCUUGACAUGGCAGGGCAACUAAUCCCCUCGGGUCCAUGGGGCUCCCAGACCGGUAAACCCCACGUGGUACGUACGUGCAUGUGA
rnacentral:rRNA from 1 species